UACGUAGGGUGCAAGCGUUGUCCGGAAUUAUUGGGCGUAAAGAGCUCGUAGGCGGUUUGUCGCGUCUGCUGUGAAAACGCGAGGCUCAACCUCGCGCCUGCAGUGGGUACGGGCAGACUAGAGUGCGGUAGGGGAGAUUGGAAUUCCUGGUGUAGCGGUGGAAUGCGCAGAUAUCAGGAGGAACACCGAUGGCGAAGGCAGCUCGCUGGGACGGUACUGACGCUGAGACGCGAAAGCGUGGGGAGCAAACAGG
rnacentral:rRNA from 1 species